UGCACAGCUGCUACUAGCAAAGGCAUAAAAUCACAUUUCAACAAAAUAUUUCCGCAGUUCAGCUUUGGUGUAUCCUAUUGUAUGUUUAUACGUGUUUAGAACAUGGGGCAGGUUAUAAGACAACAUUUGUAAUUUAUAAUUAGUGC
rnacentral:lncRNA from 1 species